GAUGAACGCUGGCGGCGUGCUUAACACAUGCAAGUCGAACGGAAAGGCCCAAGCUUGCUUGGGUACUCGAGUGGCGAACGGGUGAGUAACACGUGGGUGAUCUGCCCUGCACUUCGGGAUAAGCCUGGGAAACUGGGUCUAAUACUGGAUAGGACCACUUCUUGGAUGGUGUGGUGGAAAGUUUUUUCGGUGUGGGAUGAGCUCGCGGCCUAUCAGCUUGUUGGUGGGGUAAUGGCCUACCAAGGCGUCGACGGGUAGCCGGCCUGAGAGGGUGUACGGCCACAUUGGGACUGAGAUACGGCCCAGACUCCUACGGGAGGCAGCAGUGGGGAAUAUUGCACAAUGGGCGCAAGCCUGACGCAGCGACGCCGCGUGGGGGAUGACGGCCUUCGGGUUGUAAACUCCUUUCGCUAGGGACGAAGCGUUUUUGUGACGGUACCUGGAGAAGAAGCACCGGCUAACUACGUG
rnacentral:rRNA from 1 species